CUAGCUCCCUGUACUUCCUCAUGGAAUUUGUACCUAACGGACAUCGUAUUGGUCUUUGGCACAAGCAUAUGCUUCAAACCGAUCGUAGUAUGUUUUCAGUAAAGGACCAUGUGGCGUAAAUGUCUCUCCCUUUUUCACUGAUCCACAGGAGCAAGUAGCUGCAUUUUUUCUCUUCUCUUCUGUCCUUCAGAGGACCUGUGGACAUUAGCUCCACAUGCUGUUUGUACUUACGCCAUGCACCGGAUGCCAGAACUAACAUCAGGGACUACCAUGGGAAGCUUGCAGCUCAUUACUGGAGUGGCAAUGCUGAUGUGUUCAACAAACCAGGCUCGCAGUCAUGUGGGAAAUGGUCAUCAAAAGGAGGAAGAAAGGCCCAGCGCUACACCAACCUACCCUCUCUGCUCCUCUCUCGCUCGCGGAGCCAGGGGAACCUCAACAACCUGGAGUUUGGGACUGCGCCUCAGACCCCACGGCCCCCCCGCUCCCCAUCCAGUAUAGACUUCCACAGCUUCCAAUCCCCACAGCUCUAUGGAGAUCAUUUCUGAUUAAAGAUAGAUAAUAAUAGUUUUAUU